rnacentral:rRNA from 1 species
GAUGAACGCUGGCGGCGUGCCUAACACAUGCAAGUCGAACGGGGUUUACCCGCUGACGAGACUUCGGUCAAAUCUUGGGUGAACUUAGUGGCGGACGGGUGAGUAACGCGUGGGCAACCUGCCUCACACUGGGGGAUAGCAGCUGGAAACGGCUGGUAAUACCGCAUAAGCGCACGGUACUGCAUGGUACAGUGUGAAAAACUCCGGUGGUGUGAGAUGGGCCCGCGUCCGAUUAGCCAGUUGGCGGGGUAACGGCCCACCAAAGCGACGAUCGGUAGCCGGCCUGAGAGGGCGGACGGCCACAUUGGGACUGAGACACGGCCCAGACUCC